rnacentral:rRNA from 1 species
GACGAACGCUGGCGGCGUGCUUAACACAUGCAAGUCGAACGCUGAAGCCCUUUCGGGGGUGGAUGAGUGGCGAACGGGUGAGUAACACGUGGGUAAUCUGCCCUGCACUCUGGGAUAAGCCUUGGAAACGGGGUCUAAUACCGGAUAGGACACAUCGCCGCAUGGUGUGUGUGUGGAAAGCUCCGGCGGUGCAGGUUGAGCCCGCGGCCUAUCGGCUUGUUGGUGGGGUGAUGGCCUACCAAGGCGACGACGGGUAGCCGGCCUGAGAGGGUGACCGGCCACACUGGGACUGAGACACGGCCCAGACUCCUACGGGAGGCAGCAGUGGGGAAUCUUGCGCAAUGGGCGAAAGCCUGACGCAGCAACGCCGCGUGGGGGAUGACGGCCUUCGGGUUGUAAACCUCUUUCGACCGGGACGAAGGGUGACUGACGGUACCGGUAGAAGAAGCACCGGCUAACUACGUGCCAGCCGCCGCGGUAA